rnacentral:rRNA from 1 species
UAAGGAAUAUUGGACAAUGGAGGCAACUCUGAUCCAGCCAUGCCGCGUGAAGGAAUAAGGCCCUAUGGGUUGUAAACUUCUUUUAGACGGGACAAAACCCCUUUACGUGUAAAGGGUUGAUGGUACUGUCAGAAUAAGCAUCGGCUAACUUCGUGCCAGCAGCCGCGGUAAUACGAAGGAUGCAAGCGUUAUCCGGAAUUAUUGGGUUUAAAGGGUGCGUAGGCGGACUAAUAAGUCAGUGGUGAAAGCCUGCAGCUUAACUGCAGAAUUGCCAUUGAUACUGUUAGUCUUGAGUACAGUUGAGGUAGGCGGAAUGUGGCAUGUAGCGGUGAAAUGCUUAGAUAUGACACAGAACACCGAUUGCGAAGGCAGCUUGCUAAGCUGUAACUGACGCUGAGGCACGAAAGCGUGGGGAGCAAACA